GGAUGUGAGGGCAAUCUGGCUGCGACAUCUGUCACCCCAUUGAUCGCCAGGGUUGAUUCGGCUGAUCUGGCUGGCUAGGUGGGUGUCCCCUUCCUCCCUCACCGCUCCAUGUGCAUCCCUCCCGAAGCUGCGCACUCGGUCGAAGAGGACGACCUUCCCCGCUAGAGGAGGACCGGUCUUCGGUCAAGGGUAUACGAGUAGCUGCGCUCCCCUGCUAGAAACUCCAAAUAAGCUCUCAAGGUAGAAACAAUUCUUUGAAUUUUAUUUUAAAUACCAAAAAACAAUAAAACCUUCACUUUUAAAUUUAUUACAAAUUUAGUCACU
rnacentral:snRNA from 1 species